rnacentral:lncRNA from 1 species
AAAAAGAGAGGAGAAAAUUGGAGGAUAAAGGAAAAGAGAAGGGAGAGUUUCAGCAGUAUACACUCGAUAUAUUAUCUGGAUACACUCAGUAUACACGGACGGAAUUUAAUUUUUGAGAGUUUCUUUUAAGAAUUGAAGAGAGUUCAAAGCUAGAAAGAGAAAACAAAGAGAUAUUUCCGAAAUAUUUUUCUUCUCUAUAUUUUAUUGGUUUUUCUUCGUAUUUCUGAGAUUUUCUGGAUUGAGGUGUUGAAGCUACUGCUGGUUGUUACUGUUGCCGUUGUUGUACUUUCACCACCCUGUUGAUUUCCCAUCUUCCUUUUCUUUUCAAUACCAG